rnacentral:rRNA from 1 species
AGUGAACGCUGGCGGCGUGCCUAAUACAUGCAAGUCGAACGGAGUGGCGCACGGGUGAGAAAUCUAUAGCUAAUCUGCCCCUUGCUGGAGGCCAACAGUUAGAAAUGACUGCUAAUACUCCAUAGCAAGGGAUGAGACUAUAUCGUAUCAGCUAGUCGGUGGGGUAACGGCCUACCGAGGCGAAGACGCGUAACUGGUCUGAGAGGAUGAUCAGUCACAUUGGAACUGAGACACGGUCAAAACUCCGACGAGAGGGAGCAGUAGGGAAGAUUGCGCAAUGGGGGAAACCCUGACGCAGCAACGCCGCGUGGAGGAUGACAGUUUGCGGAGCGUAAACUCCUUUUGUUAGGGAAGCGGUACCUAACGAAUAAGCACCGGCUAACUCCGUGCCAGCAGCCGCGGUAAUUC